rnacentral:lncRNA from 1 species
AGCUAUGCAGCAGCACGAUCCUCUAAAGUCAUGGAAAAUAACCUUAAUUUAAUACCCUCUUCAUCUAAGUUUUGAUUUCUAAACGUUUGACAGAUUGUCAAAAAUUUGUUUAGAUGAAUAUAGGGUUGUUCCCUCUCGAACCCAUGAAACUUGGGUAACAUAUUUAUUGUUGCAGCCCGAAUUUCAAAUUGGGCUGCAUUAUUUAUUGGCAAUACUAUACAUGUAGGUGGACUAGCGGAUGCAGGAGCGAAUAAUUCAUUCAGGGUUCUAAUAUGUUCACCCAUUGUAGAGAUCGACGGUUGGUUUACAGUUCGCAGGUUAUGAUGAAAAGUUCUGUCAAUCUCAGGAUCAAAUGGGGUUAACUUAUCUCUUAAUUACCUUCUACCAUGUAUACAUUUUCCACAACUCAAUUAGACUCAAUUUUUUAAACGAAAUCCUAAAAGAUAAGAAGAAGGGCUAGACCAAGAUGACCACAAUCAACACCACACAACAAUUUGACCCUAUUAGUCUUAGAGCUAAGUGAGGUUUAGUAGCUUCUUAAAUCUAGUUGCACAGAGACUUAUCAGGUUAAAAAAGUUCCUGAAAUUCUCUCUAGAUUAGACAGCUCCUAAUCUCCCUUUCAGAUUAAGCUUGAGCUUACCAGUUAAGUGAUCCAGUAACCAGUGACCAAGAAAGUCUCGGGGUGUGUGGUGGUGCCAGAAGGGAUACAACGAUACCACAAUACCCGUAACAGUUCUCACUGUUGUAAAACUUUCCUAGAUAUCACCAAUUACUAAAUUCUCACUGGAGUGGCUUUCAGCCGCUUCUUUCCAAGAGCCUAAUUGAGCUCGAAAACCCUAAG